rnacentral:rRNA from 1 species
UACGAAGGGGGCUAGCGUUGCUCGGAAUUACUGGGCGUAAAGCGCACGUAGGCGGUCUUUUAAGUCGGGGGUGAAAUCCUGGAGCUCAACUCCAGAACUGCCUUCGAUACUGGAAGACUUGAGUCCGGGAGAGGUGAGUGGAACUGCGAGUGUAGAGGUGAAAUUCGUAGAUAUUCGCAAGAACACCAGUGGCGAAGGCGGCUUACUGGUCCGGUUCUGACGCUGAGGCGCGAAAGCGUGGGGAGCAAACGGG